rnacentral:lncRNA from 13 species
GUACUAUAAAUGAUGAAGCAGGAAGCUAACUCUCCAGGGACAUUUUACUCCAAGAAAGGCUGUGUGGAAGAAUGCACUUUCCCAUGUCUGCCAGAGGCACCAGGAAAUACAGAUUUGUGGAAAGACAAAGAAAUUGGAGGCAAUGGGUGCUUCAGAAAACAAGGCUGUGGAUGAGACUGAAAAGAAGAGGAUUUGAAAGCCUUUUAAAGGUUUCACUCUACCCCCCAGGCUGGAGUACAGUGAGGCCAUCAUGGCUUACUACAGCUCUGACCUCCUGGCUCAGGCACUUGUCUCACCUCAGCCCCAUGUAGCUAGGACUACAGACACGUGCCACCAUGACCAG